AAUAUUGGACAAUGGGCGAAAGCCUGAUCCAGCAAUGCCGCGUGUGUGGAGAAGGUAUUCGGAUUGUAAAGCACUUUAAGUUGGGAGGAAGGGGUUGAAGCUAAUACCUUCAAUCUUUGACGUUACCAACUGAAUAAGCACCGGCCAACUCUGUGCCAGCAGCCGCGGUAAUACAGAGGGUGCAAGCGUUAAUCGUAAUUGCUGGGCGUAAAGCGCGCGUCGGUGGUUCAGUAAGAUGGGUGUGAAAUCCCCGGGGUUAACCUGGGAACUGCUUUCAUAACUGCUGGGCUAGAGUACGGUAGAGCGUAGUGGAAUUUCCUGUGUAGCGGUGAAAUGCGUAGAUAUAGGAAGGAACACCAGUGGCGAAGACGACUACCUGGACUGAUACUGACACUGCGGUGCGAAAGCGUGGGGAGCAAACAGG
rnacentral:rRNA from 1 species